UGGCUGUACUUGUGAAUUCAA
ensembl:piRNA 21ur-4536 ncRNA